rnacentral:misc_RNA from 1 species
GAUGAAGAACGUAGUGAAAUGCGAUAAGUAAUGUGAAUUGCAGAAUUCAGUGAAUCAUCGAAUCUUUGAACGCACAUUGCGCCCAUUAGUAUUCUAGUGGGCAUGCCUGUUCGAGCGUCAUUUCAACCCUUAAGCCUCUGUUGCUUAGCGUUGGGAGCCUACCUACCCGGUAGAUCCUCAAAGUUAGCUGGCAGGGUCGAGGUUCGCCCUAAGCGUAGUAGUUCUUUCUCGCUUCUGCGGCUGCCUAGGCCAUCGCCACAAGCCUUUUAAACUUCAAUGGUUGACCUCGGAUCAGGUAGGAAUACCCGCUGAACUUAAGCAUAUCAAUAAAGCGGAGGA